rnacentral:rRNA from 1 species
CACGUAGGGCGCAAGCGUUGUCCGGAAUUAUUGGGCGUAAAGAGCUCGUAGGCGGCUUGUUGCGUCGACUGUGAAAGCCCGUGGCUUAACCGCGUGGUCUGCAGUCGAUACGGGCAGACUGGAGUACUGCAGGGGAGACUGGAAUUCCUGGUGUAGCGGUGAAAUGCGCAGAUAUCAGGAAGAACACCUAUGGCGAAAGCAGCUCUCUGGGACGGUACUGACGCUGAGACGCGAAAGCGUGGGGAGCGAACAGG